UGUGAUUUUAUUGCUUUAGCAUGGUUUGAUGGAAAAAGCAAAAACAGCUCGUAAGCAGCUGAAGGAAAAGAAAAACAGAAUGAAAAAGGUCAGAGGCACGAAGAAAGCCAAAGUAGGAACUGGCAAAAAGUAAUGGAUGCUUCUCAGCCAAGAAUACUUUUGAUUGUUCUGAAAUAAAAUUUAAAAAUUAAA